UCUAAUACUGCCGGGGCUAUUUUGGGUGCUUAUAGACCUGCCAAUAGGUUGGGCUUGGCCUAAGCCAGGAUAGGACCAUUUUGUCCAAUUUUAACUUGCUAGGAAUCCAUCCUCAUCUUCUCUCCUCCACUCUCCAUAUAAUAUCAAGGGAAUCCCUCGCAUAAGAGGGGAGUUUGGCACAAUUAGAGGUGUUGCAAAUGACAUAAAUGGAU
rnacentral:lncRNA from 1 species